AUUGAACGCUGGCGGCAUGCCUAAUACAUGCAAGUCGAGCGAAUGGAUUAAGAGCUUGCUCUUAUGAAGUUAGCGGCGGACGGGUGAGUAACACGUGGGUAACCUGCCCAUAAGACUGGGAUAACUCCGGGAAACCGGGGCUAAUACCGGAUAACAUUUUGAACCGCAUGGUUCGAAAUUGAAAGGCGGCUUCGGCUGUCACUUAUGGGUGGACCCGCGUCGCAUUAGCUAGUUGGUGAGGUAACGGCUCACCAAGGCAACGAUGCGUAGCCGACCUGAGAGGGUGAUCGGCCACACUGGGACUGAGACACGGCCCAGACUCCUACGGGAGGCAGCAGUAGGGAAUCUUCCGCAAUGGACGAAAGUCUGACGGAGCAACGCCGCGUGAGUGAUGAAGGCUUUCGGGUCGUAAAACUCUGUUGUUAGGGAAGAACAAGUGCUAGUUGAAUAAGCUGGCACCUUGACGGUACCUAACCAGAAAGCCACGGCUAACUACGUGCCAGCCGCCGCGGUAA
rnacentral:rRNA from 1 species